GUCAGCGGCUCAGAGCGCGGCUGUGUGGGGCUGCGGGGCUCCCGCCAUGCCCGCUGGGGUAGGUCCUGCGGACCCCGGCCACUGGAGCCACUCAUCAUUUCCGACGGAUGGGCCGGAGGGGCCGCCGGCCGCCCCAGCCAGGGUCUCGGUAGCCUGCAAGGAGAGAAAGAGGGCGCGGAAUUGGAAGCAGUCGUCACCCGGAGGCCUGGGCGUGCAAGCACCGAAGCUCUGGCUGGCCCUGAGCCUCCCCACCCCACCCGCUCUUUUCGCUGGAACGCGUGUACUUUGGGCAGUUGCUGACGUGGAGACAGGACGUAUGUCUUCAUAUUUUAGUAAAACCCAAUGCCCU
rnacentral:lncRNA from 1 species